CACGUAGGGGACGAGCGUUGUCCGGAUUCAUUGGGCGUAAAGCGCGCGUAGGCGGCUCGGAAAGUCGGGCGUGAAAUCCCAGGGCUCAACCCUGGAACUGCCUUUGAUACUGUCGAUCUGGAGUAUGGAAGAGGUGAGUGGAAUUCCGAGUGUAGAGGUGAAAUUCGUAGAUAUUCGGAGGAACACCAGUGGCGAAGGCGGCGACCUGGGCCAAUAUUGACGCUGAGGUGCGAAAGCGUGGGGAGCAAACAGG
rnacentral:rRNA from 1 species